rnacentral:lncRNA from 1 species
AAGUGGUUGAAUUGUUUAUCAGCUCUGUUUAUGGACCUUUGGUGUUCAGGAAGCACAGGCAAGAACUUGGAAAGAUCAACAUGACCCGUGAAUCAGAAUUCUGGAAGAUGGGAAUUCUCAUUGUGGCUCAGCGGGCCAAGAACCCAAAUGUUAUCCAAGAAGAUUCAAGUUUGAUUCUUGGUCUCACUCAGUGGGUUAAAGAUUUGGCAUUGCCGUGGCUGUGGUGUAGGCCUGUAGCUGCAGCUCCAAUUUGACCCUUAGCCUGGGAACUUCUGAAUGCUGCAGGUGGGGCCCUAAAAAGGAAAACAAAAAAAGAAUUCAGAAAGACCACCUGUCAAAUGGCAUUUAUAGUUUGCUCCCUGAACUUUCAGAAGAAGCAACUGAGUUGAUUAAUAAAAGAGGAUACAUAAUUCAUAGUUACUCGUUGCUACUGAUGAAGGCCAUAUGUCUAGUAAGGACUAAACUAAGCUAAUCAGAAAAGAAAGUGCCAACAUCCUAAAUUAUGGCUCUGUUGGUAGUUCUUUGAUUUCUGCUAAUUAUUAAUUUUAAUAGACCUAGUAUUUGGGUUGCACAUGUCAGCAAGUGAAUUUAUUAGUGGAGCUUGUUACUUGGGUAAAGUGCUAGCUUUGCUAAAUGGAAACAGUUCAUUUACUCUUUGCCCCUGAAGAACCCACCACUUCAAAAAGAUGAGAAAACAGUCAAUAGAACUGCAUUCCCUUAUAUGGCAAACGCUUUCAUUGCAACAGGUAGUCAGCCUUUUACUUGUGCCAUCAAUAUAGUCACUGUGAUGGUCAGUGUGUGCAUAGUGACCUCUAUUCUGGUCUCGUCACUUUCAAAUCCAUGCGUUAUGAAAGGGGGAAGAUGGUAUGAAGCAAUAAGGUCCUUAGAUAAGAAAUCUAUGUGGAAAGAAUAGUAAAUUACCUCCCAAAGGCAAGCAGCUAGCCUACCAGCAAGCAAAAGGCAAUAAUAUAUUAGAUCUGGAAAGAAUAACUUAGAGAAGAGGUGAUAGGGUAGACAAAGGAGAGGCAUGCAAGUUAGAAGUGGGUUCAAGUUGCAGCUCUGCCAAUUUCUCUCUGUGUGACCUUGGACAAGUUCAUAUAAGGAAUUUGUUGGACUUAACAAUCUCAAAGGGGCUUUUCCUCUCUCAUAAGGUCAUCAAGAGCAGCAUGCUACCUUAGAGAUGGCUUUUUCAGCCAAUUUUUGAAUGCUUUCCAGAUGUGGCAAGAGUCACUGGUGCUCCCCAGUAUCUGUAGUCUUUGCCUCCAGGCACACAUCUAGACCUAAUUUCUCAGUCUCCUUAUGUAGCCAAGACUCUAAGUUCUCGCCAAUAGAAAUAUGAAGAUAAAUGAUGUACAGCUUCCAGGCCUGGCUCAUAAAACCCUCCACUUCACCCCCUGCUAUAUUUCCCCAUCAUGUGGCUGAAUGAAAAACACGUCAAGGGUUUAGGGAAGAGCAGAACCCUGAGAUGGAAGGAGCCUGGGUCCCUGGAUAACUAAAGGGAUAUGAGUUACUCCAAUCUCCAUUGUAUUGUAACAUGAUCAAGAAAUAAUGUUUUGUUGUGAACCCAUUGAAAAGUUGGGGUUGUGUAUUAUAGCAAUCAUUCAACCCUGAUUAUUAGUGUUAAGAUAUGAGAAACUCACUACUUUGUAAGCCAGCUCUACUCAUUAGUGAGUUCUUUUCUUAUAUCUGUAUUCUUAUGUAUUAUUAAAUAUAACUUAAUAUGUUAUUAGUUAUAUUAUCAUCAUAGUAAAUAAUUAAACAGCAUUUAUACACUAUCCUAUUAACUUGACAUAUUUUAACUUAUUCAAUCCUCAGAAAAACUCUAUAAGCUGGUUCUGUUAUUAUCCACAUUUUGCAAAUAAGGGAAUUAAAACACAGAGAGGUUAAGUUACUUACCCAAGGCAACACAGCUAGUACAGACCAAAAAUCUAUCUUAAUAGAGUCUUACAAAAUUAUGCUGUUCAGACAUUGUUAUUUCUGUCAAUUAAUAAAUGAGGAAUGUGUCAAUUAGGAUGUUUCUUACUGGGGAAUUAUAAGAAACCUGACUCAAACCCAAGUGAUAAUGAAGGGUUCAUAUAACUAGAAAGCCUGGAAGUUGCUCUUUCUGGCUUUGGGCACUAUUCAAGCCAGGGCCACAAAAGAUAUCACCAGGACCAGUCUCACUCACACCCUUGGCUCACUUCUUCUUUGGAUUGGCUUUUUUACAGAACUUAUGGGAUCCAUACAACUGCUGGCAGCUCCAGACCAUAUAUCCUCUAGUUUUCCCAAACUAGGAGAGAUAAGAACACUUCUCAUUUCCCUAUAGUGAAAAGAAAAGUCCCAUUGGAUUGGUCCUUACUCUCAAUCUUGGACCAAUCACUGUAGUCAAGGGAUUCUAGUACCUGACUGGCCAGGCUAAAUCACAUGUUCAAACUGAGAGCCAGAGGUCUGGGUCAAUUCUACCAGAAGCACAUGACUGAGAAUAGAGAAGAGAUUGGUUACAAGAGGAAAAUGUGCUGAUGUUACUAAAAGAAGGCAGCCAAAGUAUAGUGAAUGGCCUUUACAGGGAACCCAAAUUCCAGAGAAGUUAACGGACUUACCUGAAGUCGCGCAACUAGUAAAUGCAAUGAAAUAACCUAUAUGUAAUGAUUCUGUGUUAUCAUCUCUGCAUCUUCACCUCCUGGUAGAGUAAAACUGGCAGAGCCACUUUUUGAAUGAAGAAAGGAAUGACUAUUAUAUGUUUGAGAAUUGAGCCCAUGUUUUCUUAAUUCUCUUACUACUGGGUAUCUCCAGAGUCUGCAUAACAUAGCACCUCUUUCACUGUUGCGAAGAUGAAUAAGCAAUUAUUGUUUACUGAAAAAAGUGGCUUUGAGUCGCUCAAGGGGAAUGUUGCUUUGAGUGUUGGGACAGCUGCCUCUACUUUGGCUUUCUCUCCCCUGGAUACAGUUCUCACCAUUUCUUGAUUAACUCUUAUCAGCAAGACUAGAGAAUUCAGCAGAAUGUUGGCAUUGCUGAUUAGUCCUGUCUACCGUGAUAUGAAGCUGACAAAUCCUUCUUUGAAGAGUAGUUCAUGGCUGGUAGUAUUGGAACUGAAAAUAUGAUGCAGUGUGAAGUACUGUACUUGGGAAUCUCAAUCAAACUUGUGAUGAUGGGAAUAGAUUUACAUUUACAGCUUUCAAGUACAAAGCAGCAUUAAUGCACUCUUUUUGAACUAACAUUAUGCCUGGGGUUUAAUUUCCAAGUGAGAUUUUGCCACACAAUUAUUUUCUCAGAAGCUGUUAAGUAGAAAUUAAGGAAGAUGUGGAGCUCAAAUGUGGUUUAGAAUUUUGCAAGGCCCUUGGUCAUGCCUUUCUCAUAUGUCCCUUUCUGUCCUCAGAAAGUAGGCAAUUCUUCUGCUGAAUUUUUGUUCCUUCAGAAGGCCAUAAAGGAAAAGGGAGAGCUCAGAUUCAGUGUGUGGCCAGGUUGCAUCUAUUUUACCUCUACAUAUCUGUUACAUCCAUCCCCUGCUUGUUUCUAAUUCUCACUGCCUUCAACAGAUGUCAUGCUUUACUGUGGCUUAAUAUAAUAAAACCUUACUUUCGGAGUCCUUGUUGUGGCUCAGUGGGUUGAAAACCUGGCCAGUGUCCAUGAGAAUCAGGAUUAGAUCCCUGCCGUUACUCAUUGGGUUAAGGAUCUGGCAUUUCCAUGAGCUGUGAUGUAGGUCACAGAUGUGGCUUGAAUCUGGUAUUGCUGUGGCUGGUGGUGUAAAGCGACAGCUACAGCUCUCCUUCAGCUCCUAGCCUGGGAACUUCCAAAUGUUGCAACUGUGGCCCUAAAAAGCAAAGAAAAAAAUUUUAAAUUUAAAAAGCCCACCAAAACCUUACUUCCUACUCAUGUCGUAGGUCAGUAUAGGUUGCAGGAAAGUUCUGUUCCAUACAAUCAUUCAGGGAUCCAGGUUUUUUCCAUUGUGUGACUCCACCAUCAUACAGGGCCUUGUUCUCUGCCUGUAGCUAAGAAGAUGGGGAGAGAGAAUGAGAGAUUCUCAUGGGAGUUUUUCAGGGGUCAAACCUGGAAGUAAUGUGCAUCAUUCCCAUCUUCAUUGUAUAAGGACUCAGUCACGUGGACUUCACAUAAAGGGAAGCUGAAAAAUGUAGGCUUGCUGUGCCCAGGACAAAAGGAAACUCCUUUGCCAUGCUUGGAAUAUUGCCACAAUCUCCAAACUAAAUGGUCUCUUAAUAUACAGGCUAGCCACACUGUCACAAGAGGUAUCUAAAAUAUGUCGUCUUGUUGUUCUCCAGCUGUUUUAGUAAUUGCUCUCCAGUUAUAAAAGAAAAACAAGAUUAUCUAGGAUGGCACACAGAAACCUUCUUUCUCUUGCCUUGUUUCUCUGGCCUGUUUUUUCAUAGGGCCCUCCGUUACAGCUGGUGCCCCAACUCCUCUCAAUUUCUUGUGGUUCCAGAACACACAAGACUGAUUUUUCUUUCUUUCUUUUUUUAAUAUAUAUAAUGAUUUUUAUUUUUUUCUAUUAUAGAUGGUUUUUCAUUUCCCACAUUUGCAUUUGCUGCUUCCUGUCUUUGAACUGGGCUAGUUGUUGGUUAAGAAACCUCAUGUUUUGGUUGCAUGUGUCAGUAAGUGAAGAUAUUAAUGGGGCUCGGUUUCUUUUACUGAAUGGAAACACAUUCAUUUACUCAUUGUCAUUGAAGAACCCACCAUUUAAAGCAAGAAAAUGUUAAAAAAAAAAAAGUCUCUCUGUUCCACCUGCUGAUUGAAUAGCCAUCUAUACUUUCAAGAUUCAGUUAAACUCCUUAGAGCAGCCCCUGAAGUAACCACUCAUGCCUUUUUUUUUUUUUUUUAAAUCUUAAGCAUAAUACUGUUUAGCAGCAUGAUGGCAUAAUCUUAAGAGUGAAGGAGUCAGUUUCCGGGUUUGAAUUUGAAUCUCAACUCAAUACUAGCUCUGUGAGCUUGAGAAAGUUACUGAACAUUUCUAAGCUUUUGUUUGCUCACAUGAAUAGAGCCAACUGUAUGCUGUUAGCAUCUUUGUACUUGGAAUAUAAUAAACACUCAAUAAAUAAUAGAUAUUAAUGUUACUUUUGUUGUCCCAUAGUUGUCUCACAUUAAAGAUUCUAAGUGAGGGGUUCCCAUCGUGGUGCAGCAGAAAGGAAUCCAACUAGGAACCAUGAGGUUUGGGUUCGAUCCCUGGCCUCGCUCAGUGGGUUAAGGAGCGAGGUGUUUCUGUGAGCUGUGGUGUAGGUCACAGACAUGGCUCAGAUCUGGCAUUGCUGUGGCUGUGGUGUAGGCUGGCAGCUAUACCUCCAAUUCAACCUCUAGCCUGGGAACCUCCAUAUGCUGUGG